rnacentral:rRNA from 1 species
CAAUAGCGUAUAUUUAAGUUGUUGCAGUUAAAAAGCUCGUAGUUGGAUUUCGGUUAAGAGCGACCGGUCCGCCGUUUGGUGUGCACUGGUUGGUUUUAACUUCCUGUAGAGGACGUGCUCUGGGUUUAACGACCUGGACUCGGAGUCUACGUGGUUACUUUGAAAAAAUUAGAGUGUUCAAAGCGGGCUUACGCUUGAAUAUUUCAGCAUGGAAUAACACUAUAGGACUCCUGUCCUAUUUCGUUGGUCUCGGGACGGGAGUAAUGAUUAAGAGGAACAGUUGGGGGCAUUCGUAUUUCAUUGUCAGAGGUGAAAUUCUUGGAUUUAUGAAAGACGAACUUCUGCGAAAGCAUUUGCCAAGGAUGUUUNCAUUG